CCUACGGGAGGCAGCAGUGGGGAAUAUUGGGCAAUGGGCGCAAGCCUGACCCAGCAACGCCGCGUGAAGGAAGAAGGCCCUCGGGUUUUUAACCUCCUUUGUUAGGGACGUAGAAAGUGACGGUACCUGACGAAUAAGCCUCGGCUAACUACGAGCCAGCAGCCGCGGUAAUACGGAGGUCGCAAGCAUUAUCCGGAUUUAGUGGGUGUAAAGGGGGUGUAGGCGGGACGGUAAGUCAGAUGUGAAAUUCCAGGGCUCAACCGUGGAACUGCAUUUGAUACUGUAUUUCUUGAGUGAAGGUGAGGUAGGCGGAAUGCGGGGUGUAGCGGUGAAAUGCGUAGAUAUAAGGAAGAACACC
rnacentral:rRNA from 1 species